UGAAAGAACUGCAGUCCAAUGGCUGUAUAGAAGAAAAGGACAACGCAUGCUCUCUCUCUCUCUCUCUCUCUCUCUCAUAGUAGCUCCGUGUUCCUCUCCCCCCAAACCUAAUGGAUUCAGCCCAAUUCGGAGCUCCAGGCAGGUAUCGCAUGUAUAACCACAACAAUUUUUGUGUUGGAUUGGGGUCAAAGUGUCUAGCUUUAUUAGCUAUUUGGUCGCCUGUGUAUUUGUAAUCUAAAUAAUAUGAAUUAAGGCUUUUCUGUUAGUGUCCGAUUGGUCAAGAAAGGAUGCUUCUUUUUUGUUAUCAUGCAUAUUUAAGCUGUAAAGAUCUGAAAAACUGCUUAAUUAAAGUGAGAUUUCCAGUUUUUAAGCUCAGUUUCAGGUCUUGAGCUUUGAAUUUGUUUACAUGUAUCCCAGCUGAAGCUAUCUAAUCGUAGUUUUGGGGGAUUUUGCUCAAAAUCUGGAGAGCUCUCUCGCUUUCCUCUCUAUGUAAACCCAAGAGAAAUUCCAUGGAAAUUGUUAAUGUC